CAGCCGCCACGGGAAUACGAAGGGUGCAAGCGUUAAUCGGAAUUACUGGGCGUAAAGCGUGCGUAGGCGGUGAGUUAAGUCUGCUGUGAAAUCCCCGGGCUCAACCUGGGAAUGGCAGUGGAUACUGGCUCGCUAGAGUGUGUCAGAGGAUGGUGGAAUUCCCGGUGUAGCGGUGAAAUGCGUAGAGAUCGGGAGGAACAUCAGUGGCGAAGGCGGCCAUCUGGGACAACACUGACGCUGAGGCACGAAAGCGUGGGGAGCAAACAGGAUUAGAUACCCGCGUAGUCCCUGUCUCUUAUAU
rnacentral:rRNA from 1 species